GCACAACGCGAAGAACCUUACCCACCUUUGACAUGUACGGAAUUUGCCAGAGAUGGCUUAGUGCUCGAAAGAGAGCCGUAACACAGGUGCUGCAUGGCUGUCGUCAGCUCGUGUCGUGAGAUGUUGGGUUAAGUCCCGCAACGAGCGCAACCCUUGUCAUUAGUUGCUACGAAAGGGCACUCUAAUGAGACUGCCGGUGACAAACCGGAGGAAGGUGGGGAUGACGUCAAGUCCUCAUGGCCCUUAUAGGUGGGGCUACACACGUCAUACAAUGGCCGGUACAAAGGGCUGCAAACCCGCGAGGGGGAGCCAAUCCAUCAAAGCCGGUCGUAGUCCGGAUCGCAGUCUGCAACUCGACUGCGUGAAGUCGGAAUCGCUAGUAAUCGUGGAUCAGCAUGUCACGGUGAAUACGUUCCCGGGUCUUGUACACACCG
rnacentral:rRNA from 1 species